rnacentral:tRNA from 1 species
CGCGGGAUGGAGCAGUCUGGUAGCUCGUUGGGCUCAUAACCCAAAGGUCGUUGGUUCGAAUCCAACUCCCGCAACCA